UACGUAGGGUGCAAGCGUUGUCCGGAAUUAUUGGGCGUAAAGAGCGUGUAGGCGGCCCGAUUAGUCCGCUGUGAAAGUCCAGGGCUCAACCCUGGAAUGCCGGUGGAUACUGUCGGGCUAGAGUCCGGAAGGGGCGAGUGGAAUUCCUGGUGUAGCGGUGAAAUGCGCAGAUAUCAGGAGGAACACCAAUGGCGAAGGCGGGUCUCUGGGCCGAUACUGACGCUGAGGAGCGAAAGCGUGGGGAGCGAACAGG
rnacentral:rRNA from 1 species